rnacentral:lncRNA from 1 species
CUGGCAGCCUGUCAUCUGUGGACCAGCUGGGGAUUCAGGCCUCUCUCAGCAUCAUGACUGGCCGCUUCCACUCCCCUGCAGUACGUGCCUGUCAAUCACAUUGAGAAGGCCCACUGGGUCCAGCCUCAGCCCCCUCAAUCUGUAACCCCUCUCUCCUGCUGCCUACUGAGACUGACCUGUGGUGCGCUAGGCUCCACGGAUCGAUGAGUCCAGCAGCCCACCCCUCGCUCUCCCAGGAAGGGACUGAAUACCAAGAGGCCUCCAGUCUGACGAAUAAAACUUAGUUGUCUCUGCUGUCUCUCCUCUGUCUCUCUCUGCCUUCCAUUUGCAUGCAGCUUAAGGAGUAAUCAAGAAAGAGGAUGUGAAAAGUAUGUAAGGAGAUAAACAUUUCUUUCAUUUGGUGGGACCUUCUACUGAAUCCUGCUGCAAUUGGAUUAUUAUGAAAUACUGUCGUUUGUAUGGCUGUGCAUUGGUAAGAUGAGUUGCAUUUUAAUACUAAAUAUUCUCGCCCCAAUUUAUGCAACAAUCAUAC